CACGUAGGAGACGAGCGUUAUCCGGAUUUACUGGGCGUAAAGCGCGUGCAGGCGGUUCAGCAAGUUGGAUGUGAAAGCUCCUGGCUUAACUGGGAGAGGUCGUUCAAAACUACUGGACUUGAGAGUGGUAGAGGGAGGUGGAAUUCCGGGUGUAGUGGUGAAAUGCGUAGAUAUCCGGAGGAACACCAGUGGCGAAAGCGGCCUCCUGGACCAUUUCUGACGCUCAGACGCGAAAGCUAGGGUAGCGAAC
rnacentral:rRNA from 1 species